AACCGGGGGAACUGAAACAUCUAAGUACCCCGAGGAAAAGAAAUCAACCGAGAUUCCCCCAGUAGCGGCGAGCGAACGGGGAGCAGCCCAGAGCCUGAAUCAGUGUGUGUGUUAGUGGAAGCGUCUGGAAAGGCGUGCGAUACAGGGUGACAGCCCCGUACACAAAAAUGCACAUAUUGUGAGCUCGAUGAGUAGGGCGGGACACGUGGUAUCCUGUCUGAAUAUGGGGGGACCAUCCUCCAAGGCUAAAUACUCCUGACUGACCGAUAGUGAACCAGUACCGUGAGGGAAAGGCGAAAAGAACCCCGGCGAGGGGAGUGAAAAAGAACCUGAAACCGUGUACGUACAAGCAGUGGGAGCACGCUUAGGCGUGUGACUGCGUACCUUUUGUAUAAUGGGUCAGCGACUUAUAUUCUGUAGCAAGGUUAACCGAAUAGGGGAGCCGAAGGGAAACCGAGUCUUAACUGGGCGUUAAGUUGCAGGGUAUAGACCCGAAACCCGGUGAUCUAGCCAUGGGCAGGUUGAAGGUUGGGUAACACUAACUGGAGGACCGAACCGACUAAUGUUGAAAAAUUAGCGGAUGACUUGUGGCUGGGGGUGAAAGGCCAAUCAAACCGGGAGAUAGCUGGUUCUCCCCGAAAGCUAUUUAGGUAGCGCCUCGUGAAUUCAUCUCCGGGGGUAGAGCACUGUUUCGGCAAGGGGGUCAUCCCGACUUACCAACCCGAUGCAAACUGCGAAUACCGGAGAAUGUUAUCACGGGAGACACACGGCGGGUGCUAACGUCCGUCGUGAAGAGGGAAACAACCCAGACCGCCAGCUAAGGUCCCAAAGUCAUGGUUAAGUGGGAAACGAUGUGGGAAGGCCCAGACAGCCAGGAUGUUGGCUUAGAAGCAGCCAUCAUUUAAAGAAAGCGUAAUAGCUCACUGGUCGAGUCGGCCUGCGCGGAAGAUGUAACGGGGCUAAACCAUGCACCGAAGCUGCGGCAGCGACGCUGAUGCGUUGUUGGGUAGGGGAGCGUUCUGUAAGCCUGUGAAGGUGUGCUGUGAGGUAUGCUGGAGGUAUCAGAAGUGCGAAUGCUGACAUAAGUAACGAUAAAGCGGGUGAAAAGCCCGCUCGCCGGAAGACCAAGGGUUCCUGUCCAACGUUAAUCGGGGCAGGGUGAGUCGACCCCUAAGGCGAGGCCGAAAGGCGUAGUCGAUGGGAAACAGGUUAAUAUUCCUGUACUUGGUGUUACUGCGAAGGGGGGACGGAGAAGGCUAUGUUGGCCGGGCGACGGUUGUCCCGGUUUAAGCGUGUAGGCUGGUUUUCCAGGCAAAUCCGGAAAACUAAGGCUGAGGCGUGAUGACGAGGCACUACGGUGCUGAAGCAACAAAUGCCCUGCUUCCAGGAAAAGCCUCUAAGCAUCAGGUAACAUCAAAUCGUACCCCAAACCGACACAGGUGGUCAGGUAGAGAAUACCAAGGCGCUUGAGAGAACUCGGGUGAAGGAACUAGGCAAAAUGGUGCCGUAACUUCGGGAGAAGGCACGCUGAUAUGUAGGUGAAGUCCCUCGCGGAUGGAGCUGAAAUCAGUCGAAGAUACCAGCUGGCUGCAACUGUUUAUUAAAAACACAGCACUGUGCAAACACGAAAGUGGACGUAUACGGUGUGACGCCUGCCCGGUGCCGGAAGGUUAAUUGAUGGGGUCAGCGCAAGCGAAGCUCUUGAUCGAAGCCCCGGUAAACGGCGGCCGUAACUAUAACGGUCCUAAGGUAGCGAAAUUCCUUGUCGGGUAAGUUCCGACCUGCACGAAUGGCGUAAUGAUGGCCAGGCUGUCUCCACCCGAGACUCAGUGAAAUUGAACUCGCUGUGAAGAUGCAGUGUACCCGCGGCAAGACGGAAAGACCCCGUGAACCUUUACUAUAGCUUGACACUGAACAUUGAGCCUUGAUGUGUAGGAUAGGUGGGAGGCUUUGAAGUGUGGACGCCAGUCUGCAUGGAGCCGACCUUGAAAUACCACCCUUUAAUGUUUGAUGUUCUAACGUUGACCCGUAAUCCGGGUUGCGGACAGUGUCUGGUGGGUAGUUUGACUGGGGCGGUCUCCUCCUAAAGAGUAACGGAGGAGCACGAAGGUUGGCUAAUCCUGGUCGGACAUCAGGAGGUUAGUGCAAUGGCAUAAGCCAGCUUGACUGCGAGCGUGACGGCGCGAGCAGGUGCGAAAGCAGGUCAUAGUGAUCCGGUGGUUCUGAAUGGAAGGGCCAUCGCUCAACGGAUAAAAGGUACUCCGGGGAUAACAGGCUGAUACCGCCCAAGAGUUCAUAUCGACGGCGGUGUUUGGCACCUCGAUGUCGGCUCAUCACAUCCUGGGGCUGAAGUAGGUCCCAAGGGUAUGGCUGUUCGCCAUUUAAAGUGGUACGCGAGCUGGGUUUAGAACGUCGUGAGACAGUUCGGUCCCUAUCUGCCGUGGGCGCUGGAGAACUGAGGGGGGCUGCUCCUAGUACGAGAGGACCGGAGUGGACGCAUCACUGGUGUUCGGGUUGUCAUGCCAAUGGCACUGCCCGGUAGCUAAAUGCGGAAGAGAUAAGUGCUGAAAGCAUCUAAGCACGAAAC
rnacentral:rRNA from 1 species